UCCCUGGUGCCGCUUGAGGCCGUUUCCUCUCAUCCUACAUCCUGAGGUGCCUUGUCCCGCUCCGGCCAGCUCAGACCCCCUCGGGGCUCCCACCCUGAGGCUUUCCAGGCACCUCACGGCCCUCACCGCCCCCUCCCCUCCAGCCGGGGCUCGGGACAAGCGAUGCCCUCCGCCUCACACCGGGCCCAUCACCACGACCACCACCCCCCGCCCCGGGCCCCGGCUCCGCUCAGGAUAUUGCCCCAUCCGCAGCUCCUCGCACUUAAGCGACGGCUCCGAGCCCGCCGCUCCCUCCAGCGCUGCGAACCAGAGGAGAAGCAGCACCCGCACCUCAGCCGCGCCGCUCCGGGCGGCCAUGACGGGACCGCCGCCGCCGCCGCCGUCAGCUGACCGGGGAGGAGCGGAACGGCCCCGCCGCGGUGGGAGCCCGCGCUGGCUGCGGGGAGAAACGGGGAGUACCCCAGGAUGUUUGUGGGGUGCUAAGGGUUGGGGUUUUAGGUUUUUUGGAGGGGGGAUUGAGGGGCGUGGGGUGACCUUAUUAAAUAUGGCUGCUGAGGCAGCACUGAGGGCAGAGCGCGCCCUUACCCAAGAUGGCGCUCGCAGAGUCCGGCGGAGGGACGGGCGGGGCCGUGCCCUGAGUAAAGAUGGCCGCGCCCGCCGCCGGCAUCUGCCCUGACUCAAGAUGUCAGGCGUGAGGCGCCCGGCCCAGGGGAGGUGUGGGGACGGUGGGGGAAAAGGAGGGGAGCUGUGAGCAAUCGCGAGGAGCCUCUCGGAGCGGGGCUGCGGCUGCUCCGGGUGAUGGCACCGCGGGCAGGACGUGCCCUGAACAGAGUGGAGGGUGGCGGGGCCCGGUGAGGGAAGAACGUGAUAUGAACCCUCCCCGCCCUUCCAAGCACUGACUGGUGUUGGCCCACCUGGUGAAAUCGCACUUCAACUGGAAGUGAAAGGCCAGGGCCAGAGCACGCUCCGAGAUGAACUCAGCCCUCGGAGAUGGAGACAGAGGUGCACUGAUGGGAAAGUGCUCGGCUCUUCUGUCUGCAGCGCGUCUCUCGGAUGGAUAAAUACACCACUCGCUGUUCAUCACUGUCAAGAAAAUUGUCACUUCUCACGAGCGCCACAUUAAUUAAAACUGAGAGUCACGACUGGGAAGUUGGGCGUUUGGAGCUGGAAUUUUUUAAAAAGGGGGAUGAAAUGGCGUGUUCUUAACAUGUUGCGUGCUCUAGUGCAACUGCUGCUGCGUAGUAAAAACAGGCACUAGAAUGAGGGGAAAUCUAUAAGAAAUUGUUUUCCAAAUCUCCUGUAGCCCUUACUGUGUGCAAUGAGCAGGGCUGUGUGAGAUCAGCAAAUGAGCUCAUGAAACUGUGUAGCAGAAUAAAAAUUAUAAUUUGGAGAUUUUGAGUAUA